rnacentral:rRNA from 1 species
GACGAACGCUGGCGACGUGCUUAACACAUGCAAGUCGAACGGAAAGGCCCUGCUUUUGCGGGGUGCUCGAGUGGCGAACGGGUGAGUAACACGUGAGUAACCUGCCCUUGACUUUGGGAUAACUUCAGGAAACUGGGGCUAAUACCGGAUAGGAGCUCCUGCUGCAUGGUGGGGGUUGGAAAGUUUCGGCGGUUGGGGAUGGACUCGCGGCUUAUCAGCUUGUUGGUGGGGUAGUGGCUUACCAAGGCUUUGACGGGUAGCCGGCCUGAGAGGGUGACCGGCCACAUUGGGACUGAGAUACGGCCCAGACUCCUACGGGAGGCAGCAGUGGGGAAUAUUGCACAAUGGGCGGAAGCCUGAUGCAGCAACGCCGCGUGCGGGAUGACGGCCUUCGGGUUGUAAACCGCUUUCGCCUGUGACGAAGCGUGAGUGACGGUAAUGGGUAAAGAAGCACCGGCUAACUACGUG